CAGCACCUCAAGUGGUCAGGAUGAUUAUUGGGCCUAAAGCAUCCGUAGCCGGCGCUGUAAGUUUUCGGUUAAAUCUGUACGCUCAACGUACAGGCUGCCGGGAAUACUGCAGCGCUAGGGAGUGGGAGAGGUAGACGGUACUCGGUAGGAAGGGGUAAAAUCCUUUGAACUAUUGAUGACCACCUGUGGCGAAGGCGGUCUACCAGAACACGUCCGACGGAGAGGGAUGAAAGCUGGGGGAGCAAACCGGAUUAGAUACCCGGGUAGUCC
rnacentral:rRNA from 1 species